GUGGGGAAUAUUGGACAAUGGGCGCAAGCCUGAUCCAGCAAUGCCGCGUGCAGGAAGAAGGCCUUCGGGUUGUAAACUGCUUUUGUACGGAACGAAACGGUCCGGGUUAAUACCCUGGGCUAAUGACGGUACCGUAAGAAUAAGCACCGGCUAACUACGUGCCAGCAGCCGCGGUAAUACGUAGGGUGCAAGCGUUAAUCGGAAUUACUGGGCGUAAAGCGUGCGCAGGCGGUUUUGUAAGACAGGCGUGAAAUCCCCGGGCUCAACCUGGGAAUUGCGCUUGUGACUGCAAGGCUGGAGUGCGGCAGAGGGGGAUGGAAUUCCGCGUGUAGCAGUGAAAUGCGUAGAUAUGCGGAGGAACACCGAUGGCGAAGGCAAUCCCCUGGGCCUGCACUGACGCUCAUGCACGAAAGCGUGGGGAGCAAACAGGAUUAGAUACCCUAGUAGUCC
rnacentral:rRNA from 1 species